rnacentral:rRNA from 1 species
GAUGAACGCUGGCGGCGUGCCUAAUACAUGCAAGUCGAGCGAACGGACGAGAAGCUUGCUUCUCUGAUGUUAGCGGCGGACGGGUGAGUAACACGUGGAUAACCUACCUAUAAGACUGGGAUAACUUCGGGAAACCGGAGCUAAUACCGGAUAAUAUUUUGAACCGCAUGGUUCAAAAGUGAAAGACGGUCUUGCUGUCACUUAUAGAUGGAUCCGCGCUGCAUUAGCUAGUUGGUAAGGUAACGGCUUACCAAGGCAACGAUGCAUAGCCGACCUGAGAGGGUGAUCGGCCACACUGGAACUGAGACACGGUCCAGACUCCUACGGGAGGCAGCAGUAGGGAAUCUUCCGCAAUGGGCGAAAGCCUGACGGAGCAACGCCGCGUGAGUGAUGAAGGUCUUCGGAUCGUAAAACUCUGUUAUUAGGGAAGAACAUAUGUGUAAGUAACUGUGCACAUCUUGACGGUACCUAAUCAGAAAGCCACGGCUAACUACGUGCCAGCAGCCGCGGUAAUACGUAGGUGGCAAGCGUUAUCCGGAAUUAUUGGGCGUAAAGCGCGCGUAGGCGGUUUUUUAAGUCUGAUGUGAAAGCCCACGGCUCAACCGUGGAGGGUCAUUGGAAACUGGAAAACUUGAGUGCAGAAGAGGAAAGUGGAAUUCCAUGUGUAGCGGUGAAAUGCGCAGAGAUAUGGAGGAACACCAGUGGCGAAGGCGACUUUCUGGUCUGUAACUGACGCUGAUGUGCGAAAGCGUGGGGAUCAAACAGGAUUAGAUACCCUGGUAGUCCACGCCGUAAACGAUGAGUGCUAAGUGUUAGGGGGUUUCCGCCCCUUAGUGCUGCAGCUAACGCAUUAAGCACUCCGCCUGGGGAGUACGACCGCAAGGUUGAAACUCAAAGGAAUUGACGGGGACCCGCACAAGCGGUGGAGCAUGUGGUUUAAUUCGAAGCAACGCGAAGAACCUUACCAAAUCUUGACAUCCUUUGACAACUCUAGAGAUAGAGCUUUCCCCUUCGGGGGACAAAGUGACAGGUGGUGCAUGGUUGUCGUCAGCUCGUGUCGUGAGAUGUUGGGUUAAGUCCCGCAACGAGCGCAACCCUUAAGCUUAGUUGCCAUCAUUAAGUUGGGCACUCUAGGUUGACUGCCGGUGACAAACCGGAGGAAGGUGGGGAUGACGUCAAAUCAUCAUGCCCCUUAUGAUUUGGGCUACACACGUGCUACAAUGGACAAUACAAAGGGCAGCGAAACCGCGAGGUCAAGCAAAUCCCAUAAGGUUGUUCUCAGUUCGGAUUGUAGUCUGCAACUCGACUACAUGAAGCUGGAAUCGCUAGUAAUCGUAGAUCAGCAUGCUACGGUGAAUACGUUCCCGGGUCU